rnacentral:sRNA from 1 species
UAGGCGAUCACGCCACGGCCCUAUGCACUCG